CAGCAGUGGGUGUGUGCUUUUCAUUUUUAGGCACUUCAUCUGUGCACAUCCCUAUUUGGAGUGCUUCUAACAGCAUGCCUACCCGGGGUCCCAGUUCAUGCAUGAAAUGUCAGGGUCUUGAAAUUAUGCUCCAUGAUCCCACAUAAGUAUUAAAGGUCUGACUUGAACAAAAGUGUGGUGUAAUUCAGGGCUUAAGUUGACCACCAAACCUCUAUUACUAGUGAUGAUGCUCAAGAUGGAAAGACUCAAAUCUGAAUAUUAGAACCCAGGAUGAACUUGUAGGCCUGGCAGUUAGACAACAUUAAGU